rnacentral:lncRNA from 1 species
CUGCGCUGUGCUGUGUGCCUUGCAAGAGUGACUUACCACAUGAGGAGCAGCAGGCCUGGCUCCUGCCCAGGAGGCACCUGGCCUAGAUCUCAGCGUCACUGCGGAGUUAACCAAGGGAAGCGGCACCAGCAUCACACCCUGUUCCAGCCAACAGUCUCCAGCGUCCCUGACAGAUGUCGGGAAGUUCUUUUCCCCGUAAGAUCCCGGAGAAUGUCCUGAGGCUGCCGUGUGGAAGCUCUGGGGCCUUUCUCGUCUCCCACUGCCAGCUUAAUGAGCUGUGCUGGUAGCAACAGAUGGCGCCCCGCAGGGUCUCACUUGGGUAAGGCUCUCUCCCUCAAUCCUCCAGCUGCCCCCGCUAGCAGGCUGUAGUCAUGCCCUGAUCUGGCCUUUCUGCUGCGGAGGGGAAGCUUGGGAAAAAGAGAAAGAAAGGAGAGAGAUCCCGGCGGGAUCAUGCGAAGGGAGAAAAAUCAAGCUGGGUGAAAAGCAGAUAGCUUGGAAAGUUCCUGGACACCAGUUGGACUUGCCGCGAAAACCAUUAAUCUGGCCUUUCAGAGAAAAUCUUCAGAAGAAUGUAUUUGCAAGGUGAAUUAUGAGGAUUUAGGAUUUGCCCUCAAAUUUCUCUUUCAGGCUGCUCUUCAAAUAAAUAUUUCCCCAUCCAAAAGAGACCACAGUUAUUUUAGAUGUUUGUCUCUUAACAUCUGAAUGCACUGCUUUUUCUUAGCUUUACAAGAACCUGUCCUCACAAUAAUCCACUCUACAGCUGAAAAGUCUUCUUACUCCUGCAAAUCUGAACCCAGUAAUGACUAACAUUGCACCCAAUAAGAAGUGAGGAUAAUUUCAGAACACUUGGCUUUGCUUUAAAGGGCAAGAUUUUGGAAGCAGGUUCACAGGACUCCAUCCAGAUCUGUCUUCCUGGCACACAGCUCAGGGGACCAUGCCCAAGCUCCAGGUGACAGCAGAGGGCAGGAGAGGGGACGCUUGCUUCCCACAUGUCUGGCCCUAGGGUAGGGAGCUCGUUAGGACUCCAGGUGCCAGAAUCCCACAGCACAGUGGCCUCUGGAUGCCCCUUCGUGUCCUGGAAAGGAGAGGCGGCUCCUCUCCAACUCAGGGUGGGGCUGGGAGAGGUCUUGACAGCAGGCAGGCCUUGGAGGCCACCGCAGCUCCCCAAAUGUCCCUGUGCCUCUGCACUCGCUGGGCCUGCUAGCUGUUCUGGGUCUCAAGGGUAUAUAUACAAUUCUGAACAUGUAACUAAGAACAUGUAACUCCACUAGGCUCAUAUCUCACCCUACACCAGCGUUCAUGAUGUGGGAUUUCUGAGCUGACUGCACGUGAGACCCGGCCAGGUCUUGACUCACUGCCUGAAUUUUCCACGUCUUUCUGGAGAUAAAGCCUUUCUCUGGCUUGGUGAAUGCUGUCUGAUUCUUCAUCUUUUUCCAUUUGGCAUUUUGCUUUGAAACUCAGAGUGUUGUAAAAGUAGUUGUACCUGCAUUUAUGUUAGAGAUUCUAAAAAAUACAACUCUGAGCUGGGUGCUGUGGCUCAUGUCUGUAAUCCUAGCACUCUGGGAGGCCAAGGCGGGAGGAUCACUUGAGCCCAGGAGUUCAAGACCAGCCUGGGCAACAAAGCAAGACCUCGUCUCCAUAAAAAGUAAAAAAAAUGGCUAGGUGUGGUGGCUCAUGCCUGUAACCCCAGUACUCUGGGAGGCCAAGGUGGGUGGAUCACCUGAGGUCGGGAGUUCAAGACCAGCCUGACCAACAUGGAGAAACCCUGUCUCUACUAAAAAUACAAAAUUAGCUGGGCAUGGUGGCGCAUGUCUGUAAUCCCAGCUACUCGGGAGGCUGAGGCAGGAUAAUUGCUUGAGUCCGGGAGGCGGAGGUUGCCGUAAGCCGAGAUCGCGCCAUUGCACUUCAGCCUGGGCAACAAGAGUGAAACUCUGUCUCAAAACAACAACAACAACAAAACAAAACAAAAACAAAACAAGUAAAAAAUUAGCCAGGCAUAGUGGCGUGUGCCUGUAGUCACAGCUACUUGGGAGGCCGGGGUCAGAGGAUCACUUGAGCCCAGGAGUUUGAGGUUGCAGUGACCUAUGAUUGCACCAGUACACUUCAGCCUGGGCAACACAGUAAGACCCCAUCUCUAUAAUCAAUCAAUCAGUCAAUCAAUAAAAUACAACUCUGAUUUUGUAAAGAAAAAAAGAUGUUUUGGGAGGACAACCUUAAGACAAAGAAAACAAAGUUUUCUAGUCCCAUCUCCUCAUUACCUGCUGCUGUCAUGUGCUAGGAAUAAUAAUGCAAUAAUUAAUUGAGUUGCCACAGCGGCAGGGACUGUCCUAAAGGCUGGAUGUAUGUUUUAUCAUUGAGUUCUCACAGCAAUCCCAGCAGGCAGGAUCUGUUUCUCCCCAUUGUACAGAUGAGGAAACUGAGGCACAGAAAUGCUUUACUUGGCCAAAGGUAGACAGCAAAUAAAUGGGGCCCAGAUGCAAAUGCAAACAUUUUGACUCCAAAACACUUGCCCAUAAACCGCAUGCGCCACUGCAUGGAGAGAUAUAACAAGGACCACCACAAGUCACUCAUCCAGAAGCAGUUUCAUGGACUAUACAAACUUAAUUUAAACGUGUGAAUUCCUUCUAACAGGAUGAAGAGCAAUCUGAUGCCUUCUCAGUUACAAAUCUGUUUGUAGAGGGCAUUGAUAGUUCCUAUAUUUUAAAUAGUUGUUUUGGAGGUUCUAGAUGGCAGAUUACAUACAAAGAAAAAUGCUUUUUUGAUGACAUGGAUUAUCAUUACAUAGAUUUGCAGUGAGUCGAGCCAUGUUCCCCAGCUAUAUAUUUUUUUUUCAGUAAAAGUCUGGUAUAACACAGGAAGUUAUACCAGAUUCUACUUCUGUAGCCUAUUAGGCAGAUGUUGCGAAGGAAUUUCACUGUGUUUGAUGCUUCAAUUUCGUACAGAAUCUCAGGUCUGACAUGGAAGAAGUUUUGAUGACUUACUGCCAACUUUGUAUCACCCCCAAAAUGCUUUAGAGAAAUAUCUCUCUACAGAGGAAAGCAAGGAACUGUGACUUUAACUAGUGAAUUGGAUCAACGUGUCCAGCUAAUUCAGGUACCAAAUCCUAUUUUUCUGUAACAGCAGAAAACUGUCACGACUGCCACUGAGCUCAACUUUUCCUGAACAGACUCAGCUAAAAUCCUUGCCAUGUCUCAGUUCUCAUUUCACUAUGCUAAUUAGGGAGCCCAGAGGGUGAGUCUACACAUGUAAAAUGGAUGGAUCUUAACACAUCGAUGCUUUGUUUUUAGCCAGAUUGCUGCACAACUGAUUCCACUUCUGCAGCAACUGCCAUCCAUCACCAGGACUGCUCUGCCUGGGGACAGCCAGGCCACAGCCCUGCUGACGUCUGCAUGGGUCUUGGACGUGGUCUAGGGCCAGAACGCAGUGAUGAAGCUGGUGGUUUGUAGAGGCUUUUACUACAAGUAACAUCCCUCAUUUGAUGAAAUAGAUAUCUUUCUGCCAACUUGGCUCUGUCACUGAAACCUGGUGUUUUUGUCUGGUAAUUCUUCAAAUUUGAUGUUUUAAAGAAUGUUAAGUGAAUUAAUUCCUCCUUUUUGUCAGUGCUAUAAGUUCCAUACAGAGUUUGCUCAGUCUGAAGUACAUCUGUAUUAAUUAGACAAACUAAAGCAUUGGGUGGAUCUAAACGGUUCCUUUUAAUGAUUUUUCUCCACGAUGACAAGGCACACUAUACAAACAACCACCUGAUUUUAGCAAGAGGGCUAAAAAUUAUAUUGCAUAAAUGGAGUUGCAUUAUUUAAACUUAAAUUCAGGCCAGGUGCGGUGGCUCACGCCUGUAAUCCUAGCACUUUGGGAGGCAGAGGCAGGCGGAUCCUUGAGAUCAGAAGUUCGAGACCAGCCUGGACAACAUGGUGAAACCCUGUCUCUACUAAAAAUACAAAAAUUACCCGGAAAUCGCUUGAACCGGGGAGGCGGAGGUUGCAGUGAGCUGAGAUCGUGCCACUGCACUCCAGCCUGGGCAACAGAGCGAGACUCUGUCUCAACAGAAACAAACAAACAAAAACAACAACAACAAAAAACAAAAAAACCCUGAAAUUCAAACUUUUGCCAUUAAAAACAUCCUCAAUUCGAUAAAUUACAACUUGUAUUUUGAAAUAUUGGUGGAAUGACCUUACCUGCUCUAUUUCAACCUUAAACAGCUGAAUUAAAAGCCUAAUUCCUACCAAAAGUCUUUAAAAUGAGAAAUUAACUGUGAUGAUACUUUCCCCUGAUUAAAUAAGAAGCAAGAGCUGGGGCUUUGCCUGAGAGGACAUCAUUUCAGAAGUCAAUUUGGUUUUGACUUCGUUAAAGCAAUAAAAUGUGGGUGGUUAAUCUGAGUGAAAGCUGCCAUGUUCUAAAAAUGCGUGAAGACUUAACUGGAUGGGUGGUUGCACCGCAGAAGCUAUUUAGGAUUGGAAAGUAGCUGUGAUUUGGAUUUUAAUGAAUUGCACACUGUUGACGAAUUCUUCAGCAGUUAGCCUGGAUCCUUUCCACUCAACUUAGACCUUUCUGCCUAGUUACUCCAACUUAAACCUCAGUUCCUGGAGGAAUCAAGUUUGUCUUAUAGCUGUUGUCUUUGAUGGAGAUGAGCCCGAGAGACAUUAAAGUUUCAGUGAAUUUUAUCCCCUUUCUGGAUACUAUUAAAUCACUCCUGCCCCAGGCAGAAGACUGGUCUUUACUCUAAGGCAGCUAAAGAGUGACUAUUUUUCCAAAUUGCACAAAAGGGAGAAUUUAUCAAGCACCUUUUCUCUCAGAGAGGACAAACCCAGAACAGGAAAACUUUAUUACUUUCUCUCUUGGCUAUAAAUUAUGCUAUUCAGAUGUAUUUGAAAGCUUCUCUUUAUGCUCUUGCUUGAGCCAUAAAACUUGAUACCUGGGGCCAAAUGCCUUUAUCCCCAAGAAGGGUGAAGAAGAUGAAAAGGCAGCAGCUCUAGGCGGAAGCCACACAAAUGACUGGGCAGAAAAUGCGGGCGGUGGAGAAAGUUACAUUGCACGAUUCAUGCCUCUUUGACCUUAUAUUCUACUCUGAAAUUAAUGUUACUGUUUGCAUAGGAUCACUGGCCUUUCGAAACCUGAAUUAGCCAUUCAGAAAACACUAGGUUUAACCAAUACCAUCAAUUUGAUUGUUGUUGUUAUACUUAUUUAUUUUUGAGGCGGGGUCUUGCUCUGUUGCCCAGGCUGAAGUGCAGUGGUGCCAUCUUGGCUUACUGCAACCUCCACCUCCCGGGUUCAAGCGAUUCUCCUGCCUCAGCCUCCCGAGUAGCUGGGAUUACAGGAUUAUACCUGUUUAAUUUUUGUAUUUUUAGUAGAGACAGGAUUUCACCACGCUGGCCAGGCUGGUCUUGGACUCCUGACCUCAAGUGAUCCGCCGGCCUCAGCCUCUCAAAGUGCUGGGAUUACAGGCGUGAGCCACCGUGCUCGGCCUGUUGUUGUUAUUUUUAAUACCGGGAUUUUAGAUCUGAUGAAUUUCAAUAAGCCAGCCACUCACCUGGAGAGGGUUCGCUGGGGUCCACUUUCUCUGCUUUCCUUACAGUCAUGGUACUUUUAUGUUUCUGCUUGACUGAUGUUUGGUCAAUUGCUGGAAGUUUGGAGUCACACUUAAAUGCAGAUAUCUUGAUAGAUGACCUUGGUUCAGUUAGAGCAUCCUCCUCACUAGAACUCUACCAAAAAUGAAAUACGUCUGAGUCUCAGUGGCCAAGUAGGUCAACUUUGUUAGGCAGAGAAAACAGAAAUGAGGCAAAUGCAGUGACCCUCUCCAGCAAUAAUCCUAGAGUCUUCUGCCAGGUCAACACGCCCGUUCACCAGAGAGAUUCAGAUGGACUGGGCAGAGCAACUUAGAAAUAAUGGCAGAGUUAGUGAGUCUGUUUUGUAGAACAUUAUGAAAGAAUGCAUUUUUCUGUGAGUGUGUUUUGUAGAACGUUAUGAAAAGAAUGCAUUUCUGACCCUUAAGUAAUUUGAUGACAGAUAAAUAGCGCAUGUGCUUUUAAACUUCUUAUUGUUUGUUAUUUGAACUACUUUGGAGAUAGGCUAGAAGAAAAAAUGUUCCUUAUGUUAAUCAUACAUUUGACAAUGAAAAGGAAAUGUAGAUAGUGUGACGGAGGCAGAUUAAAUCAGACCUCAGUUUCAAUACUCUGCGUUACUGGGUGCAACACGAGACAGACUAAUCUUUUAAAAAGUCCCCUCCUUGUCACUCUUCUAUAAAGAAGUCAGUAUAAAUCUAUGCAUGGACAAAUCAUGAUUCCUGCUGUGUCAGAAUAUCUCAACACAGCCAUGCCGACGCAAUAAAAAUUAUCCAGGCAUGGAACAGCUUUAUACUUGGCCACACUUACACCCACCAAAGAAAGGAUGAAAACAAUAUAAAUAUCAGAAACCUGGUCUUAAAGGUGAUUUAAGUACAGCCUGAUGGCUUUAGGUCCUGGUGUUGGUAUGACUUGCUAGGCUAUCCAUUCUGCAACAAAUAAAUCACUAGGUUCCCCCUUCCCCGACCCUGGGGGGUCGUUGCGGUGGGGGUGGAGGGGGGCACUAAGCUCUCUCCUCCAUUGCACAUUAGUCCAGUGUUGGAAAGUCCUGUGAAAAUGUGGUCUUUUGCAGGCAUAGAAUGCUAAAUUAACAUCCCUGGUACCUCCCCAACUGUUGCAAUUUGUAUUGAUCUUGCUCACCGUUCUCCCUGUCAGUUGUGGCAUUUUCAUUUCACAGGCUCCUGACUCAGGAAAAUACUCUGAGUAGCUUUGAAUUAUUGGGUGUGAUGUAAGACAAACUAAAUUCUAAAAAAGUCCUCUACUUGUCAGUCUUCUGUAAAGAAGUCUACAUAAAUCUACAGGUGGACACAUCAUUAUGCUCCAAGAUGAUGAAUCAUAUUUUAAAUUUAGAGUUUGGAUACAGCCUUCAAACAAAUAAUUCUUGUUUCUCCGCACAAUUUCAGAAAACAGACCACCCUCAGAUAAAAGAACCAGAAAAGCACAAGACACAACAAACUGACUGUUCUCCCCUUUCCUUUUCGAUUUUGCUAUUUAAUUGAAAUCCUUGCAAAUAACUCUGAAAUGUCAAAGAUGAAACAUUAGGUCAUUUCUUUUUUCUUUUUUUCUUUUUUUUGAGACAAAGUUUCACUCUUAUUGCCCAGGCUGGAGUGAAAUGGUGCCACCUUGGCUCACUGCAACCUCCGCCUCUCGGGUUCAAGCAAUUCUCCUGCCUCAGCCUCCUGAGUAGCUGGGAUUACAGGCACCCACCAUCAUACCCGGCUAAUUUUUGUAUUUUUAGUAGAGACGGGGUUUCGUUAUGUUGGCCAGGCUGGUCUCGAACUCCUGACCUUAGGUGAUCAACCCAUCUCAGCCUCCCAAAGUUCUGGGAUUAUAGGCGUGAGCCACUGUGCCUGGCUAAAACAUUAGGUCAUUUCUGAACAUGAGAUAGGUUCUCUAUUCUCAGAAAAGAAAAUGCGGGCACAUUUUAAGUAUGACACCUAAGAAUGUCAUUGUAAUUGGGUCCUGGAAGUCACAGUCCUGGAACUGGGUCCCAAGAAGAGCAUCAAUGAAUAAGGGACAGAAUUUCUUCCAUAAACUGCCCAACAAAAUCAGCUCACUGCAGUGGGUUAAGUCAACUCCCACAGGGCCCUGCAAGUGAGCCCUUUAUUUCCAGCCAGCAGAAAGGCAGGAAAAAUGCUCCAGGCGAGGAUGACCAACACCUGUGUCAGCAGCAGUAGCAGCAGCAGCAGCAGCAGGUGUCCGCUCAGCUCAUCUUCGCGGAUCCAUUUCCAUUACCCCCAGCCAGGGCCGGAAUUCUUGGCUUGCCCCAGGCUGUGGUGAAUAGGGAGGAGACCUUUAUUGGUUGAGCUGUUAAGCCACGUUUAUCCUUCCUCCACCCAUUCAUUAAACCUCAAGCCUUUAGUGCACUGAAGAGGUGAAAGCUUGGCCAAUUAAAUCAUCCUGUUACCUACGGGAUUGUGAGCCUACAUUGUGAAUACAUCCUUCUCUGGUUCAAUCAACCUUAUUUCUAGGUAGUAAUCAUUAAGAGUCUAGAAAUUGCAGCUAGAAGUUGGUGUUUUAUCAGUUGUAAACCGAAGGUACAAUGGCAAGAAGUGUAAUACUUACAAAUGUGUUAAUGGACUUUUUUCCUGCUUGCCUCAUUGAGAAAUCUUAAAUAAAUCACGUCCACCUUUUGGUCUUUAUUCUGUCUUCUUACGUUCUCAGCCAUUCCCAUCUAUCCUCUUUCUUUCUUUUUUCUGGAGACAGAGUCUUGCUCUGUCACCCAGGCUGGAGUGCAAUAGCGCGAUCUCGGUUCACUGCAACCUCGACCUCCC